UACACACGUGCUACAAUGGGCGGUACAAAGGGUCGCGAACCCGCGAGGGGGAGGCCAAUCCCAAAAAGACCGCUCUCAGUUCGGAUUGCAGGCUGCAACUCGCCUGCAUGAAGCCGGAAUCGCUAGUAAUCGCGGAUCAGCAUGCCGCGGUGAAUACGUUCCCGGGCCUU
rnacentral:rRNA from 1 species